rnacentral:tRNA from 1 species
GGGGGUGUCGGCUAGCUUGGUUUAGGCUUCGAGGUUUGGGACCUUGAGACCCAGGUUCAAAUCCUGGUACCCUCA